rnacentral:rRNA from 1 species
AGAGCGAACGCUGGCGGCAGGCCUAAAACAUGCAAGUCGAACGGACCCUUCGGGGUUAGUGGCGGACGGGUGAGUAACACGUGGGAACGUGCCUUUUGGUUCAGAACAACUCAGGGAAACUUGAGCUAAUACUGAAUAAGCCCUACGGGGGAAAGAUUUAUCGCCAUUAGAGCGGCCCGCGUUGGAUUAGCUAGUUGGUGAGGUAAAGGCUCACCAAGGCUACGAUCCAUAGCUGGUCUGAGAGGAUGAUCAGCCACACUGGGACUGAGACACGGCCCAGACUCCUACGGGAGGCAGCAGUUAGGAAUCUUGCGCAAUGGGCGAAAGCCUGACGCAGCCAUGCCGCGUGAAUGAUGAAGGUCUUAGGAUUGUAAAAUUCUUUCAGCGGGGAAGAUAAUGACUGUACCCGCAGAAGAAGCUCCGGCUAACGUUCGUGCCAGCAGCCGC